UACGGGGGGGGCAAGCGUUGUUCGGAAUUACUGGGCGUAAAGGGCUCGUAGGUGGCCAACUAAGUCAGACGUGAAAUCCCUCGGCUUAACCGGGGAACUGCGUCUGAUACUGGAUGGCUUGAGUUUGGGAGAGGGGCGCGGAAUUCCAGGUGUAGCGGUGAAAUGCGUAGAUAUCUGGAGGAACACCGGUGGCGAAGGCGGCGUCCUGGACCAACACUGACACUGAGAGACGAAAGCUAGGGGAGCAAAUGGG
rnacentral:rRNA from 1 species